UGACGAGCGGCGGACGGGUGAGUAAUGCAUAGGAAUCUGCCCGAUAGUGGGGGAUAACCUGGGGAAACCCAGGCUAAUACCGCAUACGUCCUACGGGAGAAAGGGGGCUCCGGCUCCCGCUAUUGGAUGAGCCUAUGUCGGAUUAGCUAGUUGGUGAGGUAAAGGCUCACCAAGGCGACGAUCCGUAGCUGGUCUGAGAGGAUGAUCAGCCACAUCGGGACUGAGACACGGCCCGAACUCCUACGGGAGGCAGCAGUGGGGAAUAUUGGACAAUGGGCGAAAGCCUGAUCCAGCCAUGCCGCGUGUGUGAAGAAGGCCCUCGGGUUGUAAAGCACUUUCAGCGAGGAAGAACGCCUA
rnacentral:rRNA from 1 species